rnacentral:rRNA from 1 species
GACGAACGCUGGCGGCGUGCUUAACACAUGCAAGUCGAACGGGCCCGCUCUCUUUUUUGGGGGUGGGUUGAGUGGCGAACGGGUGAGUAUCACGUGAGUAACCUGCCCCCUGCUCCUGGAUAACUGCUUGAAAGGGCGGCUAAUACGGGGUGUGCCGGCUGGUCCGCAUGGGCCUGGUCGGGAUAGUUUCAUCUUCGGGUGUUUCGGUGGGGGAUGGGCUCGCGGCCUAUCAGCUUGUUGGUGGGGUGAUGGCCCACCAAGGCGGUGACGGGUAGCCGGCCUGAGAGGGUGGGCGGCCACACUGGGACUGAGACACGGCCCAGACUCCUGCGGGAGGCAGCAGUGGGGGGUAUGGCACAAUGGGCGGAAGCCUGAGGCAGCGACGUCGCGUGAGGGAUGGAGGCCUUCGGGUUGGGAACCUCUUUCACCGGUGGUGAAGGCCCUGUCCGUUGCGGCGGGGUUGACGGUAGCCGGGGAUGAAGCGCCGGCUAACUACGUG